GUGGGGAAUAUUGGACAAUGGGCGCAAGCCUGAUCCAGCCAUGCCGCGUGAGUGAUGAAGGCCCUAGGGUUGUAAAGCUCUUUCACCGGAGAAGAUAAUGACGGUAACCGGAGAAGAAGCCCCGGCUAACUUCGUGCCAGCAGCCGCGGUAAUACGAAGGGGGCUAGCGUUGUUCGGAAUUACUGGGCGUAAAGCGCACGUAGGCGGACAUUUAAGUCAGGGGUGAAAUCCCGGGGCUCAACCCCGGAACUGCCUUUGAUACUGGGUGUCUGGAGUAUGGAAGAGGUAAGUGGAAUUCCGAGUGUAGAGGUGAAAUUCGUAGAUAUUCGGAGGAACACCAGUGGCGAAGGCGGCUUACUGGUCCAUUACUGACGCUGAGGUGCGAAAGCGUGGGGAGCAAACAGGAUUAGAAACCCGUGUAGUCC
rnacentral:rRNA from 1 species